GAACGAGAAAGUGGAGCAAUCCAUGAGUAAAGUGGCGACCGGGUGAGUAACACGUGACUAACCUGCCCUUGAGUGGGGGAUAACCUCGGGAAACCGGGGCUAAUACCGCAUAACAUCGCAAGAUCAAAGGAGCAAUCCGCUGAAGGAGGGGGUCGCGGCUGAUUAGUUAGUUGGUGAGGUAACGGCUCACCAAGACGAAGAUCAGUAGCCGGCCUGAGAGGGCGCACGGCCACACUGGAACUGAAACACGGUCCAGACUCCUACGGGAGGCAGCAGUGGGGAAUUUUGCGCAAUGGGGGAAACCCUGACGCAGCAACGCCGCGUGGAGGAUGAAGCCCUUUGGGGCGUAAACUCCUUUCGACCAAGACGAUAAUGACGGUACUGGUGGAAGAAGCACCGGCUAACUCUGUG
rnacentral:rRNA from 1 species